CUGUUUUGUGGACAUUAACAUGUCCGCGUAGGCAUAAUGUACCAAGACAUAUUAUGUAUAUCGUACAUUAAUUGAUAGUCCCCAUGAAUAUUAAGUA
rnacentral:ncRNA from 8 species